GACAGAGGGUGCAAACGUUGCUCGGAAUCACUGGGCGUAAAGGGCGUGUAGGCGGGAAGGUAAGUCGGGCGUGAAAUCCCUGGGCUCAACCCAGGAACUGCACUCGAAACUACUUUUUCUUGAGUGCCGGAGAGGAAAGCGGAAUACCUGGUGUAGAGGUGAAAAUUCGUAGAUAUCAGGUGGAACACCAGUGGCGAAGGCGGCUUUCUGGGACGGGUAACUGACGC
rnacentral:rRNA from 1 species